UGCAAUUUAAGGUACAAAAUGGAGUAUCCAUGGACGACACUGUUCAUUUUGAUUAGCCCCACUCUUUGUCCUGCAGCAGGUUUGAUAUCUUCUAUCAUCAUCGAAGCUCAAAAGGAGGAGAUUCAAUCAUGAGUCAAAUAUUCAAAUCCAGAUGUAAAAAUUGAGGUAAGAAAGUCACUGAAACGGUGCAAGUAAAAAUUAACAUAUUCUUCUUCCUCUUCCUGGAAUGGCAGUUUGAAGUACACAAGUUUUGGGUCUUAAAUUAUGAUUACGAGAACAAUUAUGAAGCAUUUUCUGUGGACAAUUGACGGCCCAGAUUCGUCGUACUCUGCCUUUGCAAUCCACAUCUGCACCAAAACAAACAAGACGGCGAUU